ensembl:snRNA U6 U6 spliceosomal RNA
UAAAUAUUAAAUUUUUUUUAAAAAACUGGAAUUAUACAGAGAAGAUUAGCCUGGCCCCUGAGCAAGAAU